AUUGAACGCUGGCGGCAGGCCUAACACAUGCAAGUCGAACGAGUGGCGGACGGGUGAGUAAUGUCUGGGAAACUGCCCGCUGGAGGGGGAUAACUACUGGAAACGGUAGCUAAUACCGCAUACCAUCGCAUUUGCCCACAUGGGAUUAGCUAGUAGGUGGGGUAACGGCUCACCUAGGCGACGAUCCCUAGCUGGUCUGAGAGGAUGACCAGCCACACUGGAACUGAGACACGGUCCAGACUCCUACGGGAGGAAGCAGUGGGGAAUAUUGCACAAUGGGCGCAAGCCUGAUGCAGCCAUGCCGCGUGUAUGAAGAAGGCCUUCGGGUUGUAAAGUACUUUCAGCGAGGAGGCGUUACUCGCAGAAGAAGCACCGGCUAACUCCGUGCCAGCAGCCGCGGUAAUUC
rnacentral:rRNA from 1 species